GGCGGCUCCAGCAGGCGACGGCCACAGUCGGGGUUUGGGAUUCAGUUUUGUCUAGAUUGCUAGAAGAUGGAAGGAAAGGGAAAGGGACUAGUAAAUCCAAAGAAAAGAGGAAGAGAUUUGAAAAGGUUUUAGGUUGUUUUCCUAUUGAGACAUGUCUACAUUUUCAUUGUAUUUGGUUAUUCAUUCGUAGUGUGUAUUGACUCUUUGAUUCGUAUCAAAAAAAAUCUUAGUGAGACUUUGCCACACCUUAAUUUUUUUCCGUGGUCCACCUCUGUCUACACACAUGCGCAUAUACACCAAGAAAGAACACACAGGCUUUGCCGAGACUCUCCCUUCGCACCCACAAGCACUACAUUGUUUUCUCAGCCCGCUCCAGCUUUCAUUCACGUAGUCAACUUAUAUAGGCAUUACAAGAGUAUCUCCACUACCAACU